rnacentral:rRNA from 1 species
AUUGAACGCUGGCGGCAGGCCUAACACAUGCAAGUCGAGCGGAUGAAGGGAGCUUGCUCCUGGAUUCAGCGGCGGACGGGUGAGUAAUGCCUAGGAAUCUGCCUGGUAGUGGGGGAUAACGUCCGGAAACGGGCGCUAAUACCGCAUACGUCCUGAGGGAGAAAGUGGGGGAUCUUCGGACCUCACGCUAUCAGAUGAGCCUAGGUCGGAUUAGCUAGUUGGUGGGGUAAAGGCCUACCAAGGCGACGAUCCGUAACUGGUCUGAGAGGAUGAUCAGUCACACUGGAACUGAGACACGGUCCAGACUCCUACGGGAGGCAGCAGUGGGGAAUAUUGGACAAUGGGCGAAAGCCUGAUCCAGCCAUGCCGCGUGUGUGAAGAAGGUCUUCGGAUUGUAAAGCACUUUAAGUUGGGAGGAAGAGCAGUAAGUUAAUACCUUGCUGUUUUGACGGUACCAACAGAAUAAGCACCGGCUAACUUCGUG